AAAUUGAAGAGUUUGAUCAUGGCUCAGAUUGAACGCUGGCGGCAGGCCUAACACAUGCAAGUCGAACGGUAACAGGAAGCAGCUUGCUGCUUUGCUGACGAGUGGCGGACGGGUGAGUAAUGUCUGGGAAACUGCCUGAUGGAGGGGGAUAACUACUGGAAACGGUGGCUAAUACCGCAUAACGUCGCAAGACCAAAGAGGGGGACCUUCGGCCUCUUGCCAUCAGAUGUGCCCAGAUG
rnacentral:rRNA from 1 species